rnacentral:rRNA from 1 species
AGUUGACCUCGGAUCAGGUAGGAAU